GGAGAGUUGUCUGAGUGGUCGAAAGAGCUUGACUGCUAAUCAAGUAUAGGCUAUACUAGUCUAUCCAGAGUUCAAAUCUCUGACUCUCCGCCA
rnacentral:tRNA from 1 species